ACCCGUUGAUCCUGCGGGAGAUUGCUGCUAUUGGGAUUCGACUAAGCCAUGCAAGUCUUCUCGUAAGAGAGGCAUAAGGCUCAGUAACACGUCGUUAACCUGCCCUAAGGUCAGGCAUACCCUCGGAAAACUGAGGUCAGCACCUGAUAUGAUAUUCUUCUUGGAAUAGUGUUUAUCUUAAACUCGCGCCUUAGGAUGGGACGGCGGCGGAUUAGGCUGAUGGUGAGGUAAUGGCUCACCAAACCGAAGAUCCGUACGGGCCGUGAGAGCGGUAGCCCGGAGAGGGACACUGAGAUACUGGUCCUAGCCCUACGGGGUGCAGCAGGCGCGAAACCUUUACAAUGCACGCAAGUGUGAUAAGGGAAUCCCAAGUGCUCAUGCAAUGCAUGGGCUUUUUUUCAAGAGUAAAUAUCUUGGAGAAUAAGUGGUGGGAAAGACUGGUGCCAGCCGCCGCGGUAACACCAGCGCCACGAGUGGCAAUCGUAUUUAUUGGGCCUAAAGCGUCCGUAGCCGGUUAUAUAAAUCCUUUGUGAAAUCAUUGAGCUCAACUCAAUGAAUGGCAGAGGACACUGUGUAACUCGAGACCGGGAGAAGUCAGAGGUAUUCCACGGGGAGCGGUAAAAUGCUUUAAUCCGUGGCAGACCACCAAUGGCGAAGGCAUCUGACCAGAACGGAUCUGACGGUGAGGGACGAAAGCUAGGGGAGCGAACCGGAUUAGAUACCCGAGUAGUCCUAGCUGUAAACGCUGCGAGCAAGGUGUUGCAUAUUCUACAUGGAUAUGCAGUGUCGAAAUGAAGAUGUUAAGCUCGCCGCCUGGGAAGUACGGUCGCAAGGCUGAAACUUAAAGGAAUUGGCGGGGGAGCACCACAAGGGGUGCGGCGUGCGGUUUAAUCUAACUCAACGCAGAAAACCUCACUAGGAGCGACGGCAGGAUGAAGAUCAGGUUGAAGACCUUAUCUGACGAGCCGAGAGGUAGUGCAUGGCCGUCGUCAGCUCGUGCUGUAAAGUGUCCAGUUAAGUCUGGCAACGAGCGAGACCUGUACCCACAAUUGCUAACGACCUUUGGGAUCGAGCACAUUGUGGGGACUGCAUGUGUAAACAUGAGGAAGGUGCAGACUACGGUAGGUCUGUAUGCUCCGAAUCUCCUAGGCUACACGCGCGCAACAAUGGUAGGGACAAUGGGAUGCAACUCCGAAAGGAGAAGCUAAACCUCUAAACCCUAUCUCAGUCCGGAUUGAGGGUUGUAACCCACCCUCAUGACGAUGGAAUCCCUAGUAAUCAGAGUUCAUCAUACUCUGGUGAAUAUGUCCUUGCUCCUUGCACACACCGCCCGUCAAACCAACCGAGCAGGUUUUAGGUAAGACUUAGUUUUUUGAUUAAGCCGAAUCUAAGUUCAGUGAGGUGGGUUAAGUCGUCACAAGGUA
rnacentral:rRNA from 1 species